CUUCACAAGGCCUGGAAGCUGGCUGAGAAUUCAGCAAGGAGCCUCACCACAGACUGCGUCAUGAGGGCCAUCUGCUAUGUGAUGGCCCAAAAUGGAUAAAAAUGAACGAUAACUUUUGCUGGCUUUGGACUGGUGUCUAUUAGUGAACAGGCUGGGCAAUGCCGGCCACCAGCUUCUUCUGCUGUUGGGGGUGCGAGACAACUCCGGGAAACAGUCUGCCCAGCUGCUUCUGCUCGGCA